GAACGAGAACGGGAGCCAGGAACUCGCAUCAAGCUCAGCCUCCGUCUUUACAGCAAUAUCUCAUGGAAACUCCAAGAUCUGGGACAUCCCUGCCCUAUUCCUGGUUGUUGGCUGGUGCAAACGCAGCGGGUUCUCCCUACGGGUUUCUUGGCACUAGGAAUCCCACGCACACUCUCUCGCCGCCGCCCUGCUGCUCCCCAAAGCGAACGGUGUUUUCGACUCCCAUAGCCAGGGACGCUGUAGCGCGCAGCUAAAAGAGCCAAGAUCGACCACUGACACACACCGGGAAGAAUUGGCACUAAACACCCACGCUCACCCUCCGACUCCCACUGGCUUUCAUCAGGGCGGGGAAGUCCUAGUACACCGGGCACCCACUGGGUGCCCACGCCGCGCCGCGAUUCCCAAGGAUCCACCCUCUGCCAACAUGCCUGCCAAUAGCGCCCCUUGAGAGCCACACUAGUUUUCCGAGGCCACCCCCGGCUCCGCGAUCACCCGCGGACUUGCGGCUUCAUAUUCAGUCCACCGACUGGAAGAAGGAAGGAAGGAAGGAAGGAAGGAAGGAAGGAAGGAAGGAAGGAAGACCGGCGGGCAGGCAGCUCCGAUCGGGAACCGGCCCCCGCGAGUCCUUGCGCAGCCCGCCCCCCUGUGUCCGCUCAAAGUCUCCGGGAGGCACCUGCCCCUCGCUGUCGCCAGAGCCCUCCACCGCCGCCUCCACCGCCUCGGCUUUUCACCCAGAGCAGGCAAGCACACCAUUUAUAAGACCUGCAGUUUCCCUGCCUCCAUAUCAACCCCAAGUUAACCCGGAUCGUUAAUUUACUAGAGCCAGUUAGCCUACAAAUACACAGACACACCGGCGACCGCCCGGAGCGCCUGCCUGAUCCCCGGCUGCCGGAGUGGAAAAGCCCGGGGCAAGCACCUGGGCCCCAGGACUCCCGGGACCCGCCGCUCCGCGCGCUGUCCUCCCAACUCCGGAAGGUUUACACAAACUCCCUGCGAGAGCUCGGAAGGCAGAGCGAACGCCCUGCAAAACUCCGCAGCCGCUGCGGUCCGUCUGCCCGCCUGGGUGGACGAGCAGCGGGGCCGGGAAGGUUCGGGCUUGGAGUGCAGGGCUCAGCCGAGCGCACGACGCGGUCUCUGCCCCGCGCUCCGGCCAGGCUCAGCCAACCCCGCGCUCUGGCCAGCCUCAGCCAGCUCCGCGCGGCGCCGGGAGAGGCAGGGGACUCCGAGAACCGUGAAGACCCGGGCUGCUCACGACCCCCGCAGCUCCUGAGCCGGCGCCGCCGCUCUGUGUUCCCUCCCGGUCCCGGUCAGCCAAUUAAGCAGAACACAAAUGUAACAAUUUUCUUUUUGUUAAUUGCAUCUCCUGACAUUUCUGCGCGCUGGGAGGAAAAAAAAAGAUGAAGAAGUAAGAGCAGGAAGAAAAGAGGAGCCCGGGCGCAGCGGGAGGUGUCUGCGAGAGCCGGGCGCCGGCUGCGCUCCACAAGGCGCCUUUUUUUCAUAUUGAAACCACGCGGAAUAUGUACAUUUUUUAGUCUUACUUACGCUUUCAGGGGGUUGUGAAUGACAGUCGCCAUUUUGCUACAAUGUAACAGAAUAUUGUCUGUCUCAGAGUUCUAAAGGUUCGCUCAGGGGAAGCGGCAGGCCAAUCAGAGCACGGGAUACCGGCCUACCGGCCAAUCGGCGCGGCUGGUCGCCAAGUGGGCGGGGCCUGCGUGGUGGUAGUUAUUAGGGGAGCUGUCAAAGCCCAGAGGUCACUCCCUUUUGUAGAGCCCGAGAGCGAGCAGGUCUUAAAGGGGCAGUACCGUGUUAGUAGCGCCCUUUUAGAUUGGAACUCGUGGAGACAACAUGGGAGAGCAUUCUCGCUUAGUUGGAGUCCCUACUUUGCUAAAUAACUGCAGAGUUUGCGCUCCUGGACAAGAAUAUUUACAUAGUGCCAACAAAACCACUUAACCCCAUUCAUUAGCUCUGGGCUUUGUAAAUCACGGUUUUUAACCCCCGAGCUCCUUGUACACCACCGUGUUGCAGUGCAAAAAGUUGGAAGGCUGCAGUUUCCUCCAAGAAAUUACUACUCGUGUUCCACUGUUUGCUAAUAAUGUUCUGGGUUCCGCGGCUGUUCAAUAUUCUUGUUCCCGAAGUGUUUUCUUGAUCUCAGCCACCUUCCCCGGGCGGUUUCUGAGAACUGGAGAGUCCAGGACAGCAACUCCCUUCCUCCUGGAAUGUCUCAGUGUCAGGCUUGCGGACAGCCACGGCUUUUGUUACGUAAUUCACGGGUGGUCACUCCGCGCGGUCCCCUACGACCACCGUUCUCCACUGUCAACGAUUCACACUGAUCUGACAUGGCCAGCUUGGGAGCGAAGUGAGACCUGGCGCUUUUUAGGCAGAAGGUUGGGGAAAUUUUGAGGCAACUUUAGGAAACGCAGCUAGGGAAGUCAGUAACUAUGCAAAAAUUGUUAGAGCCUGAGGUAGGUGUUGCCUGAGUCCCCUCUGGGAACGGCUCUGAGAAUUCAGGCGUCACCUUUCUGGACUAAGAUAGGAGGUGAAAAGAAUUUGCAAGUGAAUGUUCAGACGUGACUCCUGGCUUCCCCAGUAUGCGGCUGCUCAGAAUCUGAUAAACCCCAGAAGAAACUGAGAGACUUCUGCGAACUCAGACUUCCACGGAGCACAGGGAGACUCGGAGUGGGCGAAAACUCAUGAAAUCACUUAGAGGGCACAGGCAUCGUUAGCUUAUAGAAGCCGGGCUAUGGCCCCCUUGGCUGUUUAAUCAGGUCAAAUAGCUGGGGGCUGGGAAGUGAAAAGGAAACCGAGAGAUGCUGAAUUGCAGUUCACAAUUCCACCUGCUCUCGCCUUUUACGACUCUCGAUGAAUAAAGUAAAAUACAAUUACAAAGC
rnacentral:lncRNA from 1 species